rnacentral:rRNA from 1 species
UGCGCAGGCGGUUUAUGUAAGACAGAGGUGAAACUCCCCGGGCUCAACCUGGGAACUGCCUUUGUGACUGCAUAGCUAGAGUACGGCAGAGGGGGAUGGAAUUCCGCGUGUAGCAGUGAAAUGCGUAGAUAUGCGGAGGAACACCGAUGGCGAAGGCAGUCCCCUGGGCCUGUACUGACGCUCAUGCACGAAAGCGUGGGGAGCAAACAGGAUUACGAUACCCUGGUAGUCCACGCCCUAAACGAUGUCAACUGGUUGUUGGGUCUUAGCUGACUCAGUACGAAGCUAACGCGUGAAGUUGACCGCCUGGGGAGUACGGCCGCAAGGUUGAA